rnacentral:rRNA from 1 species
UACGGAGGGUGCGAGCGUUGUCCGGAAUCACUGGGCGUAAAGGGCGCGUAGGCGGCUGGGGAAGUCGGCGGUGAAAGCCCGGAGCUCAACUCCGGGUCGGCCGUCGAGACUCCUCGGCUCGAGCUCACUAGAGGCAGAUGGAAUUCCGGGUGUAGCGGUGGAAUGCGUAGAGAUCCGGAAGAACACCGGUGGCGAAGGCGGUCUGCUGGGGGUGAGGCUGACGCUGAGGCGCGACAGCGUGGGGGAGCAAACAGG